AGCAGGUAAUGUUUUCUAGAAUCAUUUCCAAUAGGAGCUUUGUGGACCUCCAUGGCACUAACAGCUCUGGCACACAGGUCCUCAGCAGAGCCUGCCUAAAUGAGAAUCUCACCCCAGUCCCCCUGGGGUUUCUCUCCCUUCCAUCUUUGAGGAAGUGCUCAGCUUUCUUGGUUGGUCUCCUUUAAAGGAAGUGCUCUUGAGGGGGCCUGAGAUCCUGGGAGAAGGCAGGUUUGGGUUCAACCUGAGAGCUGCCUCCCACCAGCUCUGUGAACUUGGCCUCUGAAUCUCAGUCCCUCUUUUGUAUGAGCGAGAUGGAUUAGAGGAUCUCUGAGGCCCCUCCCAGUUCAAAAGUCUGAUCAUCUACAGUUGAGAUUUAUAACUCUGUUUAUGUUUUUUUCUGGAAUACACUCCCUGUCCUGCACCCCACACAGACACAGCUGCUUAGAAACUUCCCAGGUAUUCUGAAGCCUUCGGGUCCCACUGCUCCUAGAACAUUACAGACUGUUAUGGAAGUUCAAAGAAGAUACUCAGUACUGGUCGCAUUAAAAACAAUCACAGAGACUUUUGAGAUCUGGCAGUAACGUGAGAGAUGCUGGAUUUGUCCUAUGUAAUGCUACAGAGAGGGAGAGAGAAAAAAGAGAGGUUUAGAACUGACUAGAGAGUCCGCAAAGAUGAGUUUUAGUUUCAUCUCUUUCCACUGGCCUAUAUUUUUAUUUGCCUGCCUAUAGGAAGAGAUCUACAGCAGGGAUCAAUUUCUUCGUAAAGUAUAGGCUAUUCAUUAAGCAGCCUUGGGGAUUUUCACAAUAAUAAUAAU